GACGAACGCUGGCGGCGUGCUUAACACAUGCAAGUCGAACGGUGAAGCGCCUUCCUUUUUGGUGGGUGUGGAUGAGUGGCGAACGGGUGAGUAACACGUGAGUAACCUGCCCCCUUCUUCUGGAUAACCGCAUGAAAGUGUGGCUAAUACGGGAUAUUCUGGGUCUGUCGCAUGAUGGGUCUGGGAAAGAUAUUGUUUCGGUGGGGGAUGGGCUCGCGGCCUAUCAGCUUGUUGGUGGGGUGAUGGCCUACCAAGGCGGGGACGGGUAGCCGGCCUGAGAGGGUGGACGGUCCCACUGGGACUGAGACACGGCCCAGACUGCUACGGGAGGCAGCAGUGGGGAGUAUUGCGCAAUGGGCGCAAGCCUGAUGCAGCGGCGCCGCGGGAGGGAUGGAGGCCUUCGGGUUGUGAACCUCUUUCGCCAGUGAAGCAGGCCUGCCUCGUUUGUGGGUGGGUUGACGGUAGCUGGAUAAGAAGCGCCGGCUAACUACGUG
rnacentral:rRNA from 1 species